GACCGGGUGAAAGGGACACCAGCGGGCUGGACAGGCCCAAGGAAACAACAAAACAAAUCCCCUUCCAAUAAAGACAUCCCACGCCGGACUCGCUCGGGUCCUGCUGCAAAAGUUGCUGAUCACCCACAUUUCACACAUUGAAACUUUGCUCUUUAGGCUGAGUGCUAUCCAUUUUAGUCGCAGUUAAAAAUCACAGUCAGCUAGUUUUUCCCUCCACUUUUCGAAGGGGGAGGUAGUGAAGCCAGACUAGUCUUAGUAAAUUUGAUGAAAACGACAGGGAUACAAAGUAAAAGCCAGGCAGCCUCCCCCCGGGGAAGGAAGUCAGCAAGCUCCUUUGCAACACACUCUCUGGUUCACAGGGUUCCAGUUUGAUCAGCUUUCCAUGGCUUGCUGGCAAUCUGCGUCUCUGUUUCGCCACAAGGUUACAAAGGCCCCCAUAUGAUCAGUUACAGUAUUAUAUCACCAAACAACUUCAAUAUCGCCCCAUGUUGGGCGGAAAGCCAUGGCCGUCUUUGUAGCCCUGCAGAAGAGCCCUUUGAUAGGAACAAGGGCAGGAAUUGUGGCAUGUAUCAUGUGAGCUGAGCUGAGUGACCUCCUCUGUUGGUGCAAUCUACAUCUGACCCUAGACCAUGAGUGUUCGGCAUUUCUCGACUGUCCACUGACCAGCAACAACCUUCCAGAUCACUGAAAAUGUCAGGCGGGUGGACCACCGGUCCUCUGUUAUCAUGACUGAUGGCAUGGCAUCAUUUUAAAUAAGUGCUGUUUGUUCCUGAAUAAAGUAGAUUGUUGAAAAAAAAAAGUUAUUCAUUCUGUUGCAAUGUAAAAAUAUUCUGUGU